rnacentral:rRNA from 1 species
UACGUAGGGUGCAAGCGUUGUCCGGAAUUAUUGGGCGUAAAGAGCUCGUAGGCGGUCUGUCGCGUCUGCUGUGAAAACUCGGGGCUUAACCCCGGGCCUGCAGUGGGUACGGGCAGACUAGAGUGCGGUAGGGGAGACUGGAAUUCCUGGUGUAGCGGUGAAAUGCGCAGAUAUCAGGAGGAACACCAAUGGCGAAGGCAGAUCUCUGGGCCGUAACUGACGCUGAGGAGCGAAAGCAUGGGGAGCGAACAGG